GAUGAACGCUGGCGGCGUGCCUAAUACAUGCAAGUCGAGCGAACAAACGAGGAGCUUGCUCCUCUGACGUUAGCGGCGGACGGGUGAGUAACACGUGGAUAACCUACCUAUAAGACUGGGAUAACUUCGGGAAACCGGAGCUAAUACCGGAUAAUAUAUUGAACCGCAUGGUUCAAUAGUGAAAGACGGUUUUGCUGUCACUUAUAGAUGGAUCCGCGCCGCAUUAGCUAGUUGGUAAGGUAACGGCUUACCAAGGCAACGAUGCGUAGCCGACCUGAGAGGGUGAUCGGCCACACUGGAACUGAGACACGGUCCAGACUCCUACGGGAGGCAGCAGUAGGGAAUCUUCCGCAAUGGGCGAAAGCUUGACGGAGCAACGCCGCGUGAGUGAUGAAGGUCUUCGGAUCGUAAAACUCUGUUAUUAGGGAAGAACAAAUGUGUAAGUAACUAUGCACGUCUUGACGGUACCUAAUCAGAAAGCCACGGCUAACUACGUGC
rnacentral:rRNA from 1 species